rnacentral:tRNA from 1 species
GGGUCAGUAGCUCCAACGGCUAGAGCGGCGGACUCCAAAUCCGUAGGUUGCAGGUUCGAAUCCUGCCUGACCCG